rnacentral:rRNA from 1 species
UACGGAGGGUGCAAGCGUUAUCCGGAUUCACUGGGUUUAAAGGGUGCGUAGGCGGGCAGGUAAGUCAGUGGUGAAAUCUCCGAGCUUAACUCGGAAACUGCCGUUGAUACUAUUUGUCUUGAAUAUUGUGGAGGUAAGCGGAAUAUGUCGUGUAGCGGUGAAAUGCUUAGAUAUGACAUAGAACACCAAUUGCGAAGGCAGCUUACUACACAACGAUUGACGCUGAGGCACGAAAGCGUGGGGAUCAAACAGG